rnacentral:lncRNA from 1 species
AGGCUGUCACCUCACCAUAUCCUUUUCUCUGUUUCCAUCCCCUAGCAUCUCCACCCUCUGAAGAAAGCUUGUAAGAAUCUUCUGGUGCUUUGGGCGCUUGUAGACCUGGGUCUCAACCCUGCAACUCUUUAGCUGUUAGGUGGGUGCUCUUGGGAAAUCUCUUACUUCUACCAAGCUUCAGCUUCCUCAUCUGUAAAAUGGGCAUCCUAACACCCAUUUUAUUUUGAAGUAAAUGCAUAAAUGUGUGAAAAAUGAGUGCUCAGUGAAUGAGAAGCUAUAGUUCACAUUAUUUUAAAAAUCACAGAGUCUCUUUCCUUUCAGCUUGGCCAGAGGGCAGCCCUCUGGAAGGCAAGGAUCCUUGCAGGGACCUCUUGCCAACCUGGGAUGAUUUUGAAGUGGCUUUAAAAAGAAAUAUGCCUGCAAUAAAAAUGAAAUGCUUUGCCCCCAGAGCUGAGAAUUAUGACCUCCAAAGCUUGGGAGCGGGGUUGCUUUCUUCUCUUUCUUUCCAAAAGACAAGUGGCUUGGACCAGUGAGACUGAGAAAGUCAGAGGUACAGGGAGGACACUGUGCAGAUGGGAAAGCUAUUUUUCCCUCCCCUGCCUAAUUAAGUUCUAAAGAGCAAAGACAUCCUUCCAGCUUUUGCACUCGUUCAUCCCCUUCCUGCUCAGGCUGGACGCAGGACACAUGAUUUCUUUUGGCUCCACCAUCACAGUGGGAAAAUGCACUUUCCCUUUCCUGGUACAGUUGGGGAGGUGUGUGAGAGGGUGAGAGACAAGAGGCAGUGUGUGUGUGUGUUUGUGUGUGCGUGUGCGUGUCCCUCCUGGUGUCUGGUCACUAUGUGGUCUAGCGCUGCACCUCCUGUGCAGCCAGAGUGGAGGUGAAUGGACAGGAUGCCUUUGUACUGUGUGUGUAGUUUGUGUGUGUGCAUGUGGAGUGGAAGCGUAGCCUCUGUGUGACACGUGUGUAUGCCUGUGAUGGUGUGUGACAAAACGUGAAAGGUUCAGAGAAAUGGGUUCUAGAGUAGGGUUUCUCUGGGAACCUGAUUUGUAGAAAUGCUGUGUGUGGUGUUUGUCUGCCCUACAACCAACACCCGUACCAAGAAAGUUUAACUUUGCAGCAAAACAAAGACAUGGAUAGAGAAUGAUGAAGAGAAGAAAGAGGGUGGAGAAGAAAUGAGGAAGAAUUAAUUUGAGUUCCUUUGAAAGGAGAGAUGUUUGGUGGGUGGAAGGAAAAGAUAGAGACUAGAUCAAUAACAAGAAAUAACAAAUGAGGAAGAAUUAAUUUGAGUUCCUUUGAAAGGGGAGACGUUUGGUGGGUGGAAGGAAGGAAGGAAAAGAUAGAGACUAGAUCAGUAACAAGGUUGGACGGAGCAGGAGACUGGCUGGAGGCAGGAGUCUUCCUCCCCAUCUCCCACUGGGCUUACCUGUACCACCUGCCUCUCCUCUCAGCUCUGGGUUUAGUGUCCGGCAAGGCUCCCUCUGAUUCCCCCCACCCUUUGGUGGAGCUGUGGCAGCAGAGAGCCAGCUGGAAGUU